GUAGUCGAUGGGAAACAGGUUAAUAUUCCUGUACUUGGUGUUACUGCGAAGGGGGGACGGAGAAGGCUAUGUUGGCCGGGCGACGGUUGUCCCGGUUUAAGCGUGUAGGCUGGUUUUCCAGGCAAAUCCGGAAAAUCAAGGCUGAGGCGUGAUGACGAGGCACUACGGUGCUGAAGCAACAAAUGCCCUGCUUCCAGGAAAAGCCUCUAAGCAUCAGGUAACAUCAAAUCGUACCCCAAACCGACACAGGUGGUCAGGUAGAGAAUACCAAGGCGCUUGAGAGAACUCGGGUGAAGGAACUAGGCAAAAUGGUGCCGUAACUUCGGGAGAAGGCACGCUGAUAUGUAGGUGAAGUCCCUCGCGGAUGGAGCUGAAAUCAGUCGAAGAUACCAGCUGGCUGCAACUGUUUAUUAAAAACACAGCACUGUGCAAACACGAAAGUGGACGUAUACGGUGUGACGCCUGCCCGGUGC
rnacentral:rRNA from 2 species